GUUUAGGGGUGGGGAUCUGGACCGUUUACAAGAUAAUAGCACAUUCUCAAAUUGAACGGGGUGGGGGCGACCCCCAGGGACUUCUCCUUUAAUUCAUUAAAUUUGUUUUAUCGUCCCAUUCAAGAAUAUACAUGGUUUAGGGGUGGGGAUUUAGACCCUUUACAAGAUAAUAGCAUAUUCUCAAAUUUAAGGGGGUGGGGAUGACCCCCUAGAGAUUCCCCCUUUAUUUCACGUGAUUUGUUUUAUUGUCACUUGAUUAUUUCUGAAGACUGUGUGUGUUUAUCACUUAAAGUUUUAAAGUUAUAUUCAUUUGAAAAUUUUCUAAAAUAAAAUCCCAUAGUGUUCUAUAGUAAACCCCUCCUUUCUUUUAGCCCCCCAAA
rnacentral:lncRNA from 1 species